ensembl:lncRNA
GGGGGGUGCAGGGAAGGAACGGCGGUGCGGUUGCGCGCAACAACAAGCGGAGUGCCGGUUAUCACACUAGGGGGCGAGCGAGAGCAGCGGGGCGGAAGUGAGACCGUUAAAUCAAACCACCGAGGAAGACGGGAACGUUAAACAGUGUAAUACGACUACUGGACGCGAGGGGCGAGCGAGAGCGAAAUGCAGGAAGUUGAGCCGCUCACUAAAGUUAAGGUAUAUCACCUCUAGUGUAUUAACAGUAAUACAAAUCAAUCAAUCAAAUGUAGGUAAAUUAUGCUUGAUAAUUUAUUAUACGUACAGAAAAAACUGCAUAAAUCACAUGUCUCCAUUAAUGGGUUUUCAUUUUUUUAACAAAAAGGGUUGGCAGCUCAUCCUCAGAUUGCUUCUUCGUCAGGAUGGGGACCCCCUUCACAGCCCUGUAUAAAGAGGAAAGGCUUUAUUU